GACGAACGCUGGCGGCGUGCUUAACACAUGCAAGUCGAACGAAGAGCGAUGGAAGCUUGCUUCUAUCAAUCUUAGUGGCGCCCGGGUGAGUAACGCGUAAUCAACCUGCCCUUCAGAGGGGGACAACAGUUGGAAACGACUGCUAGUACCGCAUACGAUCUAACCUCGGCAUCGAGGAUAGAUGAAAGGUGGCCUCUACAUGUAAGCUAUCACUGAAGGAGGGGAUUGCGUCUGAUUAGCUAGUUGGAGGGGUAACGGCCCACCAAGGCGAUGAUCAGUAGCCGGUCUGAGAGGAUGAACGGCCACAUUGGGACUGAGACACGGCCCAGACUCCUACGGGAGGCAGCAGUGGGGAAUCGUCCGCAAUGGACGAAAGUCUGACGGAGCAACGCCGCGUGAGUGAUGACGGCCUUCGGGUUGUAAAGCUCUGUUAAUCGGGACGAAAGGCCUUCUUGCGAAUAGUGAGAAGGAUUGACGGUACCGGAAUAGAAAGCCACGGCUAACUACGUG
rnacentral:rRNA from 1 species